GGAGGAUUGGCCGAGUGGCAAGGCACCGGCUUGACCCAAGCCGUGGUCGGGUGAGAGCCCGCGCACGUUCGAUCCGUGCAUCCUCCG
rnacentral:tRNA from 1 species